UCUGGGUGUGGUGGUGCACACCUGUAAUCCCAGUAUCGUGGGAGGCUGAAGCAGGAGGAUCACAAGUUCUAAGACAGUCUCAGUAAUUUAGUGAGGCCUUGAGCUUCUU
rnacentral:sRNA from 1 species